AUUCCGCCUGGGGAGUACGGUCGCAAGAUGAACUCAAGGAAUUGACGGGAACCCGGCCACAAGCAGUCGGAGUAUGUGGUUUAAUUCGAAGCAACGCGAAGAACCUUACCAGGUCUUGACAUCCCUUUGACCGGCUUCUGAGAGAUAGAUCUUUCCUUCGGGACAGAGGAGACAGGUGGUGCAUGGUUGUCGUCAGCUCGUGUCGUGAGAUGUUGGGUUAAGUCCCGCAACGAGCGCAACCCUUAUGCUUAGUUGCCAGCAGGUCAAGCUGGGCACUCUAAGCAGACUGCCGGUGACAAACCGGAGGAAGGUGGGGAUGACGUCAAAUCAUCAUGCCCCUUAUGACCUGGGCUACACACGUACUACAAUGGCCGGUACAACGGGAAGCGAAGGAGCGAUCUGGAGCCAAUCCUAGAAAAGCCGGUCUCAGUUCGGAUUGUAGGCUGCAACUCGCCUACAUGAAGUCGGAAUUGCUAGUAAUCGCGGAUCAGCAUGCCGCGGUGAAUACGUUCCCGGGUCUUGUACACACCGCCCGUCACACCACGAGAGUUUACAACACCCGAAGUCGGUGAGGUAACCGCAAGGGGCCAGCCGCCGAAGGUGGGGUAGAUGAUUGGGGUGAAGUCGUAACAAGGUAGCCGUAUCGGAAGGUGCGGCUG
rnacentral:rRNA from 1 species